AAGCCAUGGUGUGGGCAUAAUCUCAUUAACUCGUUGAACUUAUCCCAAGAUUCAUACAAUGAUUCACCAUCUUUUGAGAAAAACCAGUGAUUUGGUUCCACAGCUG